AUGGAUGUCUCUGUUAGAGAUUGCUUAAGUUUUAGUAGUAUCAUUCUCCGUAUGGCCCUUUUUUUUCAACAUGCCAUUUUCAAUGAGAAAGCCCUGAGAAAGUGCGAAGGACCAAAAUUUAUUAUUUAUAAAAGGGCCAUCGUCAUUGGAUCUAGCACAGCACUGAAUGUCUUGUACCGCCACGGUUGCUUCCCGUCAGCCAGGCCAAAUGCUCAAAAAGCUGGCGACUGCAUUGCUGUGAUCCAUUCUACUAGAAAAAGAGUUGCAUCACUUAAAAGUAUGAUUUGUUCAGAGUUAGAACGCGGCAACUGGGCUCUAGAAUCUUCUGUUAUUCAGAUAACCAUUUCUUCUAAUAAUUCAGAUGGCCUUUUGGCACGUAAAUAUGCUGGAAGUAUUCGUAUGAAACUGGGCUCUAGAAUGUUCUCUUAUUCUGAUAACCUUUUGGCACGUAAAUAA
rnacentral:rRNA from 1 species